GGGGGCGUAAUGGAUUCGACGGGGUCGCACCGUCGCAGAGAGGCAUACCGGGUUCCGAGCUCCCGUUAAACGAUCGGAUUAUAACAACUGCCAACAAUAAUACGCAGUUAGCAUACGCCGCCUAAUUUUUAGUCGGCCACCCUCUAAGUUGGGCCCACACUUCAGAGAUGGGUGUUAUUCCGUGGGAUUGGCGAUAGGCUUCUGUUCGUAGCUAUAAGCUGAAAUUAACCGAACUGGGUCAGUCCUUUCUUGUCCGCUCCAAGGGAUAGGCCGAGAUUUUUGAACGGACUAAGUAUGUAGGUUCUUUGCGAUAGACUUCUCCGGACGCGGGUUCGACUCCCGCCGCCUCCACCA
rnacentral:tmRNA from 2 species